rnacentral:rRNA from 1 species
AGAGUUUGAUCCUGGCUCAGAAUCAACGCUGGCGGCGUGCCUAACACAUGCAAGUCGAACGCGAAAGUCCCGCAAGGGAUCAGUAGAGUGGCAAACGGGUGAGUAACACGUGGGUGACCUGCCUUCGAGUGGGGGAUAACGUCCCGAAAGGGACGCUAAUACCGCAUGACAUCCUGCUUUUGAACAGGUGGAGAUCAAAGCCGGGGAUCGCAAGACCUGGCGCUUGAAGAGGGGCCCGCGUCCGAUUAGCUAGUUGGUGGGGUAAUGGCUCACCAAGGCAACGAUCGGUAGCCGGCCUGAGAGGGCGGACGGCCACACUGGGACUGAGACACGGCCCAGACUCCUACGGGAGGCAGCAGUGGGGAAUUGUUCGCAAUGGGCGCAAGCCUGACGACGCAACGCCGCGUGGAGGAUGAAGACCUUCGGGUCGUAAACUCCUUUCGAUCGAGACGAAUGGCCCCUGGGCUAGUCACCAGGGGAGUGACGGUACCGAGAGAAGAAGCCCCGGCUAACUCCGUGCCAGCAGCCGCGGUAAUACGGGGGGGGCAAGCGUUGUUCGGAAUUACUGGGCGUAAAGGGCUCGUAGGUGGCCAACUAAGUCGGACGUGAAAUCCCUCGGCUUAACCGGGGAACUGCGUCCGAUACUGGAUGGCUGGAGUUUGGGAGAGGGAUGCGGAAUUCCAGGUGUAGCGGUGAAAUGCGUAGAUAUCUGGAGGAACACCGGUGGCGAAGGCGGCAUCCUGGACCAACACUGACGCUGAGGAGCGAAAGCCAGGGGAGCAAACGGGAUUAGAUACCCCGGUAGUCCUGGCCCUAAACGAUGAAUGCUUGCUGUGCGGGUAUCGAUCCCUGCCGUGCCGAAGCUAACGCAUUAAGCAUUCCGCCU